CAGAGAAUAGUUUAAUGUAGAAUCUUAGCUUUGGGAGUUAAGGGUGAGAGUUGAAU
rnacentral:tRNA from 1 species